GCCUGGGUGGUGAAAUUGGUAGACACAAGGGACUUAAAAUCCCUCGGCUUCACGGCCGUGCCGGUUCGAUUCCGGCCCUAGGUACCA
rnacentral:tRNA from 3 species